UGGGGUGUCGCCAAGCGGUAAGGCACCAGACUUUGACUCUGGCAUUCGUAGGU
rnacentral:tRNA from 1 species